ACUUGCUUGGGCUGCAGUUUUAUUAGUCCUGGCUUUGGCCAAACUGAGAGGGUUCAUGUCUUUCUUCUUGAAGUGGCUGACUAGUCCUACUCAGGUCCCCUCUGGCUUCUGGACCACAUUCUACUUGUUUUCUUCAAAAUCUCUGCCCCUUUCUCCUUGUUCUUCCAGCCUCAAUUACUAAACUUGGUGUCUCUGCUUGACUGCGUCCUUAGCUUUAUCAAGCUUGACUGUGUCCCACAGUGCUCCCAAACAACCUCUUAUUCCAUUAACCAUGCAUGCCCUGCACUUGUUUUCUAAGCAUCCUUAAGCCCUUGCUGAUUCUACUCUUUGCCAGGACCUAGUGUUUUAGCACAUUCCUUUUCUAAAGGCACUGGCUGCCGUCUGUAGUAAGACCUUUAUUAGGGGAUUACUGGGUGACUGCAAUGUUAGACUGUAAGCUCCGUGAGGGGUAGGGACAUGCUCUACAUUGGUGACCACUGUAUUUUCACAGGCCUGCCUUAGUGCAUGGCACUUAGUAGGUGCUCAAUAAAUAUUUGUUGAAAUAA
rnacentral:lncRNA from 1 species